GAGGCUGGAGUCAAAGGAGCUUGAAUAGACAUCGAAAUCAUAAUAGAAACCAGGCCUGCGAGCAGCGAGUGCCCUUUGUAAGUUGGGAAAAAGUUAUUUCCUCUUUCUUUCCCCGCAGCUAUUCGUUACGUUUUGUUUUCAAUUCAAUUGAGCGUCAAUCUGCACUGAGCGAGUCAAAGAGAGGCGUCAGAAUUCGAAAGGCUAUUCUAUUAAGUAAGGAUCGACUUAAGCUUAAGCUAGCUCCAUCCUCAGAGUAAUAAUGAAUCAAAUUUUGCAAAAAAAAGAAAGAUCUUCAGGUGAUCA
rnacentral:lncRNA from 1 species